ensembl:lncRNA
CCCCGUCCGCUCGUCUUGCCGUACUACAAUGGGGCCACUCUUCCAAAUUAUUCGCUAAUCCCGGAGUUAGGGGCACCAUGGCCUCUAUCCGUCAGAGAUUUUGGUGGCCCACCCGUGAGCGCGACAUCCAACGCUUCGUUGCUUCUUGCUCUGUCUGCGCUCAGACUAAGACCGGCUCCUUCGACCCCUUCCAUCACCGUCUCACCCGUGGUCACACAUCGGCUUGGAUUUUAUUACGGGGCCCCCCCCCCCCCGUCGGAGGGGAACACGGUAAUCCUUACUGUCGUCGACCGCUUUUCUAAGUCCGCCCACUUUAUCCCUCUUCCCAAACUCCCGUCCGCGAAGGACGGCCCAAGUUGUAGUCGACCGGAUAUUUAAGAUCCAUGGUCUCCCCUUUGACAUCGUCUCCGAUAGGGGUCCUCAGUUCUCGUCCUUGUUUUGGAAGGAGUUCUGUCGCCUUAUCGGAGCCUCUGCCAGCCUCUCCUCCGGUUUCCAUCCCCAAACAAACGGUCAAGCCGAGCGCACCAACCAGAUUGUUGGUCGCAUUCUUUGCAGUCUCGCAUUCCGGUGCCCCGCCUCUUGGUCCGAGCAGCUGCCCUGGGCAGAAUACGCCCAUAACUCCGCUCCCUCCUCUGCUAACGGGUUGUCGCCUUUUCAAUGUUGCCUUGGUUACCAACCCCCAACGUCCCUUCCGUCGAGGCGUUAAUCGGACUUGGAGAGGGGUUAGGGCUGCUUUAGGCAAGUUCCGUUCCCGCACCCAACGUGCCGCAAACCGGCUGCGUGUUAAGAGUCCCAGCUACCGCGUCGGACAGAGGGUUUGGCUUUCCACCCUCAACCUCCCGCUGCAAUCCGUGUCGCGUUAAUUGGCCGCCAGGUUCAUCGGCCCAUUCUUCAUUGUAAAGGUCCUUAGUGCUGUCUCAGUAAGGCUCAGAUUUUUUAUUUACUUCAGAACAAACAUCCAGAAUAUAACACCAACAUGUAUAUUUUGCGUUGUACAGUUUUACAUGACAUGCAAAUAGAACAGCUGCACAUAUGUAGGUGUGUCAAUAAGUAUAACUUUAUGCCUCUUAUAAUGCCGAGGUUAAGCUUAGGUAAAUCUACAGAGCAUCACCUUUGUGUGUACUCCAUAAUAUGGCUGAUUAUCUUAUAUAAAAAAGUAUUUGGUCGUACUUAUAAGAUUAAUAAAUAGGCACUUCGGAUGUAUGUGUCCUUUUCUUAUCCUAAACCCUUAACAGUUCUUUGUCUUUAAAAAGACAUUAACAUUAUCAAUUUUUUAUAUCAUGCUAUCCUCUCAACAGGGUGCAGAAAAAUAUCAAAUUCAACAGACAACACACAACCAAGUGUAUAGCUUUAAUACUUUUGGAAAAUAUAAAUUUAACUUGAGCUCUCCAAUACCAUUCUAUAAAUGCAAUGAUAGUAAACAUAUGUGGCUGUGCUACUGAGGUCUUCAACUACCUCAAGAAUUUGUCAGUGAACAGAUGGACAUAUUACACGAAUAUUCUUAAAAGGAGCCAAACCGUCACGACACGACAUGUGAAUCUGCAGCUACAACAUAGAAGCUCCAGCAACAUCAAAGUGAAACACGGACCGGUGCAAGAUGUGAGCAUCAGACUGAUGGUUGGGUAUGAGAUGCAGCUUGUGUCCUUUCUACGGCAAGCUAAAGGGCCACUGGUGUCAUGUCCUCUUCUGGACCCAGGUCCACUGCGGGUGGGACAGAAGUCACAGCGCUUCCUGCACUAGGGGGCAGGUUCAGGGGAAGGGACUUCAUGUGUGUCUGUCCGUUCACAAGGGACUCUUGUCAUAAAAUACUG